rnacentral:rRNA from 1 species
UGGGGAAUUUUGGACAAUGGGCGAAAGCCUGAUCCAGCAAUGCCGCGUGUGUGAAGAAGGCCUUCGGGUUGUAAAGCACUUUUGUCCGGAAAGAAAUCCUUGGCUCUAAUACAGUCGGGGGAUGACGGUACCGGAAGAAUAAGCACCGGCUAACUACGUGCCAGCAGCCGCGGUAAUACGUAGGGUGCAAGCGUUAAUCGGAAUUACUGGGCGUAAAGCGUGCGCAGGCGGUUUGCUAAGACCGAUGUGAAAUCCCCGGGCUCAACCUGGGAACUGCAUUGGUGACUGGCAGGCUAGAGUAUGGCAGAGGGGGGUAGAAUUCCACGUGUAGCAGUGAAAUGCGUAGAGAUGUGGAGGAAUACCGAUGGCGAAGGCAGCCCCCUGGGCCAAUACUGACGCUCAUGCACGAAAGCGUGGGGAGCAAGCAGGAUUAGAUACCCUGGUAGUCCACGCCCUAAAACGAUGUCAACUAGUUGUUGGGGAUUCAUUUCCUUAGUAACGUAGCUAACGCGUGAAGUUGACCGCCUGGGGAGUACGGUCGCAAGAUUAAAACUUAAAUGAAUUGACGGGGUCAUAGCUGUUUCCU